GAUGAACGCUGGCGGCGUGCCUAAUACAUGCAAGUCGAGCGAACGGACGAGAAGCUUGCUUCUCUGAUGUUAGCGGCGGACGGGUGAGUAACACGUGGAUAACCUACCUAUAAGACUGGGAUAACUUCGGGAAACCGGAGCUAAUACCGGAUAAUAUUUUGAACCGCAUGGUUCAAAAGUGAAAGACGGUCUUGCUGUCACUUAUAGAUGGAUCCGCGCUGCAUUAGCUAGUUGGUAAGGUAACGGCUUACCAAGGCAACGAUGCAUAGCCGACCUGAGAGGGUGAUCGGCCACACGGGACCUGAGACACGGUCCAGACUCCUACGGGAGGCAGCAGUAGGGAAUCUUCCGCAAUGGGCGAAAGCCUGACGGAGCAACGCCGCGUGAGUGAUGAAGGUCUUCGGAUCUUAAAACUCUGUUAUUAGGGAAGAACAUAUGUGUAAGUAACUGUGCACAUCUUGACGGUACCUAAUCAGAAAGCCACGGCUAACUACGUG
rnacentral:rRNA from 1 species